UAAAUGGAUGUUUAGUAAGCUGCUAAAUUAGAUUUGCAUGUAAAACUCAAGAUGAUCUCCAAUGGUUCCUGAAAUAUAGGAAGCUCCAACGGCUUUGAAUAAUUGGUGGACCAUCGGUUGCAUGCGCCGUCACUAUUUUUAGACGCAAAACACCUGACAGAGUCAUGCCGACGAACAAGUUCUGAGCGGUGCCGUCGCCUGAAUCAAUUCAUUCGGUGAUGGGUUCAAAUAGAUUGUUGUCAUCACAAUUACUUGAUGAAUCAUCAUCUGAUGACGACGAGGAUUUCAUACUUUCUGCCGCGCAAAUCAUUCAUACUGUUUCACAAGUUCGUACAAAGCCAGGAGGCUCUGUUCCAGGUCGUGCAUAUAUUUAUCGAGAUAGAUAAGCGGGACACGCGAGAUUGUACCAAGAUUACCUGGCUGACAUUCCUACUUAUGGUCCAAACUUGUUUCGGCGGAGGUUUAGGAUGCAUCGAUCCCUGUUUAUUCGCAUAAUGAAUGUUGUUGAACAACAUGAUGAUUACUUUGAGCAAAAAUGAAACGCAGCUCAACAACAAGGUUUAAGUUGUUUGCAGAAGGUUACUGCAGUAUUUCGUAUGCUAACUUAUGGAGUGGAAGCAGAUGCUACAGAUGAAUAUGUACGUAUUGGAGAAAGUACUGCGCUGGAAAGUCUAAGAAG